GCGCCGGUGGUGUAAGGCGAACAUCGCUGCCCGGAAAGCAGAAGAUGCGGGUUCGAGUCCCGCCUGGCGAA
rfam:Heligmosomoides polygyrus genome assembly, scaffold: HPBE_scaffold0003386